AAAUAUUCAGAUAUUUUUAUUGAGACAGCAUUACAGAAGAACAGUUAAAUACUCAAAUGGAUAUAUUUCUUCAACACUGUACAGCUUUAGGAAAAUGUACACAUUUUUAUAUCUUACUAUAAAUUAAGAUUCUACACAGGCUGUGCAGUGUGUUUAUACAUUUAUUUAACAUUUAUUUCUAUAUGAUGGUUAUGAAGAAUUACUCUUUUAUCUUUGUAGUGCACAAGGUUUAUGAAUCAUGAGAUAGUUUAUCCAUAAUUUUAUUUAUAUAGCACUAUUAAACACAACCAUGUAUUGACCAAUGUGCUGAACAACAACAAUAAAAACAUUUGAAUAAGACAAAACAAAAUAAUACUAUAAAACAUAAAGUAGAAAAUUCUCAGUUACAAAACGGCAAAAAGGUAAGUUUUCAACAUAGAUUUAAGUUUUUAAAUCUAUGUUGACAUUACUAGUUAAUGUAUAGGUUACCAUCAUUUUCUUUUUGAUGGGUUACUCCUUUAAAAAGCAAAUGAUGGUAACCUAAGUAGGUGAGGAAGGAAAAAAAUUAAACAGCUGGUUAAAACAAAUGUUUGUUUGUUUUUUUUCAGAUAGUGAAGGUGCAGAUCUAAUACAGAGGGGCAAGGCAUUCCACAAUCUAGGGGCAGCUACCGAGAAAGCGCAGUCACCCCUGCAUUUCAGCCUCAACUUAGGGAUGCAGAACAAUCUCUGGUUGGACGACCGAAGAGACAAGAGGGGCUGAUGUUCAGUCAAUAAGUCAGAAAGAUAGAUGUGUUUGAGCACCCAGUUAACAGAAGCAGAGCUCUGGGACAUGCGGACAGACAUUCGCUGUAAUGAUGGACAUCUGCUCAUGGACAGGCUGGAAAGCAUAACCGCUGCUGGACAUCGCUCUGGGACUCAGGGGGGAUGCAGACCUUCUUUCACACACUACAGAGAUCCAGCAACCUCUGAACCAUGACACAGGGCUCUUACCUGUGAAAGAACUUAUAUUUCACUGUUAACCUGUAAUUUUACAAUAAACUAAUUCAAGCUUUCA